GGGCAAGCGCGUUUAAUCGGAUAUCGAGACUUAGGUUCCAUUUUCAUGGUUUGUUUUAAUUUUUAGGCGAAAGGAGAUUUUAUCCUUGAACUCCCAACUCGAACUUAUGAAUCGUCAGUGAUAUAGGGAAGAAAUUUGAGACCAAUUUCUCUCACGGUCUUCAUUAUGUUAAGUUAAUUGAAAACGGGGCAAUAGAGUUUUGUUAGAAGAAAAUUUCAGUUUGAUUUGUGUUCUUGUUAAUUAAAGCCAGUUAGAAGAAUCCUUAGGCCACAAAAUGGCAAUAGAAAAUUUUCUGAAUUUCUAGUGCACAAAUCAAAUUCAUAGGAUGGUAUGAUUUCUAAAGAUGAAAAGAGCAGAGGGUCAGUAGAGAUAGACAAGGAUGUGUGCUCAAGCUCCACUUUGACAAUUUUGAUCACGAAAUAUAACGAAAAUGUAGAUUCCCUAAUUUCUAGAUUGGUGCAAAAUGUAUUUGGGCAUAGUUAAGUACUAUUACGAGUAGCAUGGACUCUAAUAUUUUUUUUCCCCUUCUAAUGGCUAGCUUUUAAUAGAAGUUUUUCUUAUGGUUUUUUAUAUCCUCAUGUACUUGAUUAGCUUGCUUUGAAGUCCCAAAAUGAAGAGAGAACACUUGCAAGUUGCAAUGCCAGUUUUUCAACUGAUCCAGUAAUUAGCAUAUGCAAUUUGCUUAGUUGAUUGAAUGUACAAAUUGUUAAUCGAGUGGCCAUCCAUUGAUAUGAGUACUUCGUACCUGUAACUCUGGAUGCACAGGAAACACAAAUGUAGCUCUGACAUUUGAACUGCAAUGAUCAGCAUUUGAAUUUUUUAUUAUAUCCUAUUAACGUCCCUAAUCUAUGGUUACAUAAAUAAGCUUCUAAUGAUUGAGCUCAAAUUCCAGAUCCUUUUUUAUUGAUUGAACAUAGAAUUUUGUCCUAUAUUAAUGGAAAGAUAUCUAGCAGUCAAAUAAAUAAAACAAAAGAUAGUGAUAAAAUCAUUUUUAUGAGUUGGAGGUUUUAUAAUUUCUGAUCUUUACCAUUCCAUGCAACUGUGCAUUCUAAGUUAUAUGUUAGAUGAUGAUGAGGUAUUCAUGUGUUUUUGAAUGCUUUUUGGGAAAAUUUAAUCAAAUAGCAGGAUGAUAGAUGACUACUACACAUUGAGAAUGUUUGUAUUUACAUGUCCAUAGAGUGGCAGGUAGAGAAUUUUUGCAGCUUGCUUUUUGAAUGCUUUCUGCAACAUGAUGAAACAGAGUUUUUUUCCUAUGAAGUGUGACGGUAAGGUUAUCUUGUGAAAAUAUUGGAUGCUUUUAUAUCUGUAGGAUGUUUUGAAAGAUGCUUUUAUAUAUGUAAGAAGGUGUUUUCUAAAUCAUGCUUUUAUAGUACGAUGUGCA
rnacentral:lncRNA from 1 species